rfam:Bacteroidetes bacterium OLB8 TZ08_BCD00100CONTIG0000048, whole genome shotgun sequence.
GGGGCUGACCGGAAUCGACAGGAGAGUUAUGAUCGGUUAGUAAGCAUGCAGGAGUAUGAUAGCUACCUUCUUCACCAAAGUGCUAUUGAACAAUAAUUGGCGAAACUAAUUUCGCAAUCGCAGCUUAAUCUGGUAGAUUAACACGCGUUCAUGCAAUUUACCUGACACCUGAUAUAAGGUAAUGUCGCAUGUCAUCAAUAAUUCAGGUAUGGAAAUAUUCCGCUCCGAGGUGUUUCCGAGAUCUAAGGAGCUAAGGUUAGGAUGUGGUGUGUUUUUCCACUUAUCCUCACUCGAAAAUUUAAAGAAAAACUAAGCAUGUAGAAAGCUUUCAGGCGCUUUCUCUGGACGAGGGUUCGAAUCCCUCCAGCUCCACAU